UUUGAACUCCUUUCGCUUUUCUGAAAACCCCAUCUCCCUAUAGGGGCUUUGCUGCGAUAUUUAUUCAUCAAACCAUCCAACCCUAGUGUUAGGGACUCCGCAGGUGAAUCACUCAGCAUCAGAAUCUACACAGAGGUUGGAUUUUUUCAUUUAGAAGGAAAUCAUCGUAGUGGACACUGCAAAGUUGCGUCUUCUGUGUUGUUUUGAUUCAAGCUCUUUGUAUUUGGGGUGGGUGAGAGUGGUAUUAUAUGGGGAAAUCUGGAGGGAGAAAAAAGAAGAGUGGUGGUGUGAAGCCAGAGUCGGGAGAUAACCCAAUUCCAAAUGCUAAUGGGGGUGUUGAUUUGGACUCGUCAAUCUUUUUGAGAAGAGCCCACGAGCUGAAAGAAGAGGGAAAUAAGAGGUUUCAAUCGAAGGAUUAUGUGGGUGCCCUUGAGCAGUAUGAUAGUGCGCUCCGGCUUACGCCGAAAACCCACCCAGAUAGGGCGGUGUUUCAUAGCAAUAGAGCGGCUUGUUUGAUGCAAAUGAAGCCCAUAGAUUAUGAGACUGUUAUUUCUGAGUGUACUAUGGCGCUUCAGAUUCAGCCCCGGUUUGUCCGGGCUCUUCUUAGGAGGGCUCGGGCGUUUGAGGCGAUAGGGAAGUAUGAAAUGGCGAUGCAGGAUGUGCAAGCCCUGUUGGGUGCUGACCCGAAUCAUCGAGAUGCUUUGGAGAUUGCCCGCAGGAUUAGGACCGCCCUUGGGCCACGCCAAGAGGCUCAGCAGGACUUGCAGAGCCGCCCGUCCCCGGCUGCCCUUGGGGCUUCAGCAGUUCGAGGAGCACCAAUUGGUGGUCUUGGACCAUGUUUACCAGCUCGGCCGGUGCAGAAAAAGGCAGUGCCGGCAGCACAAGUGGGGUCAGUUGUGUCACCAAAUAAUAAGCCAGAGAAGGCUCAAUCCAAUUUUGUUGCUGAAUAUGGUUCUGAUACUAAGACCCAGCUUCCGAAACUUGUGUUGAAGCCUUCAAAUGGUUCUUCCAAACCCAAUUCUAAUCAAAGUAAGAGUAACAAGAAGGAACAGUCAUCUUCAUUGGGUGCAUUGUCUGCUGGUGAGCAGGCUAUUAAGGCUGUGAUUCGUUGGAGGCCGUUGAAGCUUGUUUAUGAUCAUGACAUAAGGCUUGCCCAAAUGCCAGUGAAUUGUAAUUUUAGAGUGUUGAGGGAGAUUGUGAGCAAACGCUUUCCAUCAUCAAAGUCUGUUUUGAUUAAGUAUAAGGAUAGUGAUGGUGAUUUGGUGACCAUAACCUGUGCAGGAGAACUCAGAUUGGCAGAAUCCUUUGUGGACAGCCUUAUUGUGAAGGAAACCGAAACUGAUAAAACAGACUCAAUUGGAAUGUUGAGGUUGCAUAUUGUUGAGGUGAAUCCUGAGCAGGAGCCGCCUUUAUUGGAAGAAGAGGAGGAGAGGCCUCCUGAGAGCGAGGGGCUUGAGGGAGAGGAUAAUGGGUCUCACUCUUCACUAGGUGAUUCAGUGCUGGACACUGCAGGUACAGAGAUUGAAAAGACAGAGAAGGAAGCUCCAAAGGAGAAAGCUGGAGCUUCGGAGGACCCUGAGUCCAAGGAAGUGGAGAUGGAUGAUUGGCUCUUUGAGUUUGCUCAACUGUUCAGAACCCAUGUUGGUAUUGACCCAGAUGCUCACAUUGACCUACAUGAGCUUGGGAUGGAGCUCUGUUCUGAAGCUCUUGAGGAGACAGUGACAAGUGAAGAGGCUCAAAGCCUGUUUGACAAGGCUGCUUCAAAAUUCCAGGAGGUAGCUGCAUUGGCUUUCUUCAAUUGGGGGAAUGUUCAUAUGUGUGCAGCAAGGAAACGCAUUCCUUUGGAUGAAUCUGCUGCAAAAGAUGUAAUGGCAACCCAACUUCAAGUGGCUUAUGAUUGGGUCAGAGAAAAAUAUUCUUUGGCCAGAGAGAAGUAUGAGGAGGCCCUUUUGAUCAAGCCUGACUUUUAUGAGGGGUUGCUGGCCUUGGGGCAACAGCAAUUUGAAAUGGCAAAACUUCAUUGGUCAUUUGCUUUGGCUAAGAAAUUAGACCUCUCAGGCUGGGAUGCUACAGAAACGAUUAAGCUUUUUGAUAGUGCUGAGGAGAAGAUGAAAGCUGCGACUGAGAUGUGGGAGAAGCUGGAGGAGCAGAGAGCUAAUGAGCUAAAAGAUCCAAGUGCAAGCAAGAGAGAAGAACUGCUAAAGAGAAGGAAGAAACAAGGAAGUGGUACUGAAACUGAGUCCUCUGUAAUUGGUGGGCAGGCAGAGGUUUCGGCUGAAGAAGCAGCAGAACAAGCAGCAGUGAUGAGAUCACAGAUACAUCUCUUCUGGGGUAACAUGCUGUUUGAGCGAUCCCAAGUUGAAUGCAAAUUAGGGCUGGAUGGCUGGAAGAAGAACCUGGAUGCCGCUGUUGAGCGCUUUAAGCUUGCUGGAGCUUCUGAGGCUGACAUUUCAAUGGUUCUGAAGAACCAUUCCUCCAAUGGGGAUGCGGUAGAAAGCAAUGAAAAAAAAUCUGAGAAUUUAAGCACCGAUGUGGCUGGGACAACAGAUGAUAAGAAUGAAGUUGAUCAAGUAUCGGGAAAGUGAUAUAUUCUGUGUGCAGGAGUUUCAAUACAAAAUUAGGCCCAUAUUUUCUCCCUAACCACAAGUUUGAAUGGGCAAAAGGGAGAACUUGUCUCAGCAAGAGGGUGGAUUUGUGUCUAAAUAGAAACAUUGGGUGCAACAUUGCAAAGCUGUGUAAUCACUGAGAAGUUUUGGUUUUAAAUUCUUCAUGAUGUCUUACCCAUUAUUAGACAGCACUAGUUGGAGCAAAGAAGUAGCUGUGGUUCUUCAAGCAAAUGGGGCAUCCCACCAAACUUUUAGGCAACUGGUUCUUCGGUCAGAUGUUUUCUCAUUAUAGAGUUGACUUUGUUGUUUGUGUUAUCUUAUUUUUCCGUUUUACUUGGCCAACCUCUCUUUUUGCCACCAUGUUCAUGCAUCCUUCCCUCCCCAAACCUCACCACCCACAUACCAACUGAGCUAUGGCAGCUCAUUGGCAUGAAAAUUUUCCCUUUGAUGUCACUGAUAAUCAUUAUUUCAAUUGAUUCUCUACAUUCUAGAUAUGAUCAAGACCAGAAGCUUGAUUAAUCAGAAGAAAUAUUAUGGGAUUUCAAUGUAUCAUCAAUGCCAUCUCUCCUUGCUGACAAGGAUGGAAAGAAAACUUAAAAUUUUAAUGAUA